UACGUAGGGGGCUAGCGUUGUCCGGAAUCAUUGGGCGUAAAGAGCGUGUAGGCGGCCCGGUAAGUCCGCUGUGAAAGUCGAGGGCUCAACCCUCGAAUGCCGGUGGAUACUGUCGGGCUGGAGUGCGGAAGAGGCGAGUGGAAUUCCUGGUGUAGCGGUGAAAUGCGCAGAUAUCAGGAGGAACACCAAUGGCGAAGGCGGCUUAGUGGUACGGUUCUGACGCUGAGGCGCGAAAGCGUGGGGAGCAAACAGG
rnacentral:rRNA from 1 species